AUAAGUUUCAUCAAUCUUUUGGCGACAAACUCCACAAGACCAUUCUUGUGAUGGGAGAGAAUAAACAAAAGAAACUCGGUGUUUGUGACGAGAUAUUUUUAUGACGUAUGGUAAAUAUAUGCAAUGUCUAUGAACAAUGAAAUCACAAUGAAGACAUACGAAGAUGAAAGACUUGUUAUCAUCUAAGCCACACACAUCACAUCUCAAGAUGGAUUUUCUUGGAAAGAAGUAUAGGGUAUGCUGGUGCCUUUUGUGAUUUGUAAUGAGUGGGGGUUUCCUCACACAAACCGGAUCCAAAUUAAAAUUACAAAUAGAUCAAUGGUAAACCAAGCCAGUACGGUAUGAGCUACAGGAAUGGCAUUCCAGCCAUUCAACCCUGCUGUUAUUAUCAAAGAUGUAAAGCUGGAGAGAAUGUUUAGGAUGAUAAGGAGAUUUGAACGUAGGGGGAGACUCGACACAUUCUUUGUGGUACCAUCUGUCACAAUCAUUACAAAAGUAAUAGGUUGUGCCGAUAGUAUUAUGCCAACAAGCCCCACAAUUUUCCUCUAUUAUUUCGUCAUCAAUAGAUAGUAUGAGUGUUUCUUUAUUGUUGCACCAGAAAAGAGGGAGAAGAUGGUGAGAAUGUGAAAAUUCGUCAUCUUCGUCAUUAGAAAAAUAAUAAGACUUAUCCACUGUGCGAUAAUAUGCCUCACCAAUUUUCUUUUUGAGAUCCGCUAUUUCUGUACAUCGGUCGUUUGGCAGGGCAUACGAGACGGGAAGAAAGAGGGUGGUCGAUGGAAUCCAUGGACGCUAUGUGCUCCAAAGAUAUUUAAAUGGUUAGAGAUUUUGAGAGAUUCAGUUUAGAUGUU
rnacentral:lncRNA from 1 species